UUUUAUGGAGAGUUUGAUCCUGGCUCAGGAUGAACGCUGGCGGCGUGCCUAAUACAUGCAAGUCGAGCGAACAGACGAGGAGCUUGCUCCUCUGACGUUAGCGGCGGACGGGUGAGUAACACGUGGAUAACCUACCUAUAAGACUGGGAUAACUUCGGGAAACCGGAGCUAAUACCGGAUAAUAUAUUGAACCGCAUGGUUCAAUAGUGAAAGACGGUUUUGCUGUCACUUAUAGAUGGAUCCGCGCCGCAUUAGCUAGUUGGUAAGGUAACGGCUUACCAAGGCAACGAUGCGUAGCCGACCUGAGAGGGUGAUCGGCC
rnacentral:rRNA from 1 species